AAGAGAAUUAAAAAGAAGCUGCUAACUAUCUUUCAUAGCGAACAAAUACGUUUUUCUCUUA
rnacentral:tRNA from 1 species